rnacentral:lncRNA from 1 species
GUACAGAAUACUUGGCAGUGAUCCCAGAAGUUGUUUAUGUUGAUUUCUAGAAGGAGAUACAGAAUGCCAUGCUAGGUUUAAAACUCCUGAGAAUGUUCAAGCAGUAAUAAAUGCACACGCAGAAAUUAAACAGAAACACUGCUUGAAACUCAAGGUCCUUUCUGGUGGUCAGAACAGGCAUCACCGGGAGAUUUCAGCUGAUAGACAGGCCCGACUUGAUCAGCCUCAGGAAAAGCUUGCCAAAAGGCACUGAAAGUUAAUCACCAAAGCCAAAAAGAUUAGACUGGCAAAGACUCAACAAGCAAGUAAACACAUUAGAUUUUCUGAAUAUGACUAA